CUUCUAGAAAAUUUCUGUGGCUCUCUACAUCAUACACCACACGGAUGGAGGCCUUAAAGUGGACUGUUCAAGCCUUAUCGCGACGUUUCGGAAUUUAUUUUCCUUCUUCAGGCUAGCUCAAACACAAAAUGAAAGGUUCCAGUCACUCAGUCUUAUUUAUACUGUUUCUGAGGGGGCGUGUCUGCACACAAACACGUUCUAACACUAAAUAUCGGCACUUUUUGGUGCGUCAUGAUCCAUUUUGGUCUGAUUUACCAUUCUGUUGUACUGAUAUUUCACAUCAACUCACUGAAACAAGGCCUGACAAGGACCAGCCCAAAGCUCAGAGACGGAGGCACUGGCUGGUUAGGGGAAUGAAACGUCUUUUUUGUGUUACUAUCUUCACAGACCCAUUUAUUUCUUUUUCACUUUCACACACUUAUUUGUGUUUUUAGCACCCCUUUGUUUUAUUUUACAACACAUAUUUUUGUGUUAAUCUAUCACUCACGGCACCCCCAUUGUCUUUUCAACCUUAACUGUGCUUUCAUUCAAAAAAAUACACCUCUUUGUGCUAUGAUACAUCCCUCUUUCUUGCUCACUACUGUACAUUUUUGUGUAUCACAUUUAAACCAACUAUAUACAAAUUCUAUUUACAUGACUCUUAACCCAUAUGUAUCUUUUUUGAUUUUUUUCAGAUGGAGACAUCCAGUAUGGUUUUCCGUAAAGGGAGACCAGCGAGGCCCAGAGAGAGAGGCACGGGCUGAGUUAGAUAGAGACAUCCAGUAUGGUUUUCCGUAAAGGGAGACCAGCGAGGCCCAGAGAGAGAGGCACGGGCUGAGUUAGAGAGGAGAGGCCCUCUGCUUGAUUUAGUAUGAAGAAAGGCCCUUUCUGUAUGUCUGGCCAUAUGUUUCUCAUCAGUUCUGAACAUUCCAGCACCGCCGAUUGGCCAAUAUAACACAAGGCGGGAUUUUUUUGUCGAAUUUGCUGAAGACGCAGCACUGACUGCAGAACACAGUCAUUUGCAGGAACACCUGAAAGAACAAAUAAAUAAUAAAGUUUAAAGUUAAAUAGCGGGCCAGCUGCACAAGCAGCCAGACAGGCGUUAAAGCAGGCGGGAAGAGAGUCGUCGUGAAAGACCCAGAGUAUGCUGGGACAGUAACAUUAGCAGGCAGGUGGUUAUGAAGCAGACGAGGAGGGGGAAGAGUCGAGGCCACAGGAGUAACGUUACGCUGGAUAGCAGCAAGUAUCAUAUUGAUGAACAACACAACAGACCCAUCUCCUCCUGACAGCCUAGAGCGCAAGCGCCCUGAUGUGUGGUUUAUUUACAACUAGCAGCUGUGGAGCUGUGUCAUAUGGUCUCCUGUAUGGGAAACUCCGUUCAUUAACGUGAGGGCGUGCUGAGGUGUACGCAGGUGAGUAAUUAUAGUCUCUGAAAUUCGGUGUGACACUAGU